rnacentral:tRNA from 1 species
GAGGGUAUAGCUCAGUGGAAGAGCACAUGCUCAGCAUACAUAAGGUCCUGGGUUCAAUCCCUGGUACCUCCU